UAAGGAGUUGCGAACGGGUGAGUAACGCGUAGGUAACCUACCUCAUAGCGGGGGAUAACUAUUGGAAACGAUAGAUAAUACCGCAUGACAAUAGGGUACACAUGUACCAUAUUUAAAAGGGGCAAAUGCUUCACUAUGAGAUGGACNUGCGUUGUAUUAGCUAGUUGGUAAGGUAACGGCUUACCAAGGCGACGAUACAUAGCCGACUUGAGAGGGUGAUCGGCCACA
rnacentral:rRNA from 1 species